rnacentral:lncRNA from 1 species
GGGGAUGUAUGACCAAGAGUAAUGUAUGACCAAGGAAAAUGUAUGACCAAGAGUAAUGUAUGACCAAGUGGAAUGUAUGACCAAGAGGAAUGUAUGACCAAGGAGAAUGUAUGACCAAGAGCAAUGUAUGACCAAGGGGAAUGUAUGAUCAAGAGGAAUGUUUUCUUAAUAGAUUAAUCACAUGUUUUAUAACACUCCCCCUUGAUUAAUCAUUACUGUAUAUUUGCAAUAUACUGC